rnacentral:rRNA from 1 species
UAGGGAAUCUUCCACAAUGGACGCAAGUCUGAUGGAGCAACGCCGCGUGAGUGAAGAAGGUUUUCGGAUCGUAAAGCUCUGUUGUUGGUGAAGAAGGAUAGAGGCAGUAACUGGUCUUUAUUUGACGGUAAUCAACCAGAAAGUCACGGCUAACUACGUGCCAGCAGCCGCGGUAAUACGUAGGUGGCAAGCGUUGUCCGGAUUUAUUGGGCGUAAAGCGAGCGCAGGCGGAAUGAUAAGUCUGAUGUGAAAGCCCACGGCUCAACCGUGGAACUGCAUCGGAAACUGUCAUUCUUGAGUGCAGAAGAGGAGAGUGGAACUCCAUGUGUAGCGGUGGAAUGCGUAGAUAUAUGGAAGAACACCAGUGGCGAAGGCGGCUCUCUGGUCUGCAACUGACGCUGAGGCUCGAAAAGCAUGGGUAGCGAACAGGAUUAGAUACCCUGGUAGUCCAUGCCGUAAAACGAUGAGCGCUAGGUGUUGGGGACUUUCCGGUUCUCAGUGCCGCAGCAAAACGCAUUAAGCGCUCCGCCUGGGGAGUACGACCGCAAGGUUGAAAC